AAUUUUUAGUUCCGCCUAAAGUAAACCGCUACCUCCCCAUGUCCCCCCUUUAGAGUAAUUCAAAUGAGGUACAGCCCAUUUGAUCCAGGAUACAACCUUAACUAACGGGUAAAAAUCAAUUUACAUCUUUAAGUAGGCCUAAGAGCAGCCACCUUUUAAAAAGCGUCAAAGCUUAACUUUGCCCAUAUUAAUUUAAAAACCUAAAUUGACCCCUUUAACUAUACUGAGAACUUCUAUAACCUUAUAGAACUUUUUAUGCUAAAACUAGUAACAAGAAGAAAACCCUCUCCUAAAUGCAAGCGUAAGCCAGCAAGAAUCCACCACUGGCAACUAACAGCCCACAAAGUAGCAACCUCACCCAAGAAAACCCUUCUUUCCCCACCCCCUGUUAAACUAACACUAGAGCAUUUCAAGAAAAAUUAAAAGAAAAAGAAGGAACUCGGCAAACACUAGCCCCGCCUGUUUACCAAAAACAUCGCCUCUUGCCCCCCCCCAUAAGAGGUCCAGCCUGCCCAGUGACUCUGUUCAACGGCCGCGGUAUUCUAACCGUGCGAAGGUAGCGUAAUCACUUGUUUUCUAAAUAAAGACCAGUAUGAAAGGCAUCACGAGGACUAACCUGUCUCCUUUUUCUAAUUAGUGAACCUAAUCUCCCCGUGAAGAAGCGGGGAUUAAAAUAUAAGACGAGAAGACCCUGUGGAGCUUAAAAUAUUAUAACACCUGCCCAUACGCCCCAACUACCCCGGUCCCUCACCCAAACGGCACUCUGAUUAUAUGUUUUUGGUUGGGGUGACCGCGGAGAAAAACCUAUCCUCCACAAUGAAAGGGGUACCCCCCCCAAGCAAUAAGCCACGACUUUACGCAUCAAAAAAUUGACAUCCAUCGACCCAACAAGUUGAUCAAUGAACCAAGUUACCCCAGGGAUAACAGCACAAUCCACUUUGAGAGCCCCUAUCGACAAGUGGGCUUAUGACCUCGAUGUUGGAUCGGGGUAUCCUAGUGGUGCAGCCGCUACUAAAGGUUCGUUUGUUCAACGAUUAAAACCCCACGUGAUCUGAGUUCAGACCGGAGCAAUCCAGGUCAGUUUCUAUCUAUAACAGCGCUAAUUUCAGUACGAAAGGACCAAAAUAGCAUGGCCUAUACCCCCACAAGCCAUAAUUAACCAUCUAUGACCCACACUCAAAAAAUAAUUAACCUGCCCCCUCCCUCAAGAAAAGAGUA
rnacentral:rRNA from 1 species